UACGUAGGGGGGCAAGCGUUGUCCGGAAUCAUUGGGCGUAAAGAGCGUGUAGGCGGCCCGGUAAGUCCGCUGUGAAAGUCCAGGGCUCAACCCUGGGAUGCCGGUGGAUACUGUCGGGCUCGAGUCCGGAAGAGGAGUGUGGAAUUCCUGGUGUAGCGGUGAAAUGCGCAGAUAUCAGGAGGAACACCAAUUGCGAAGGCAGCUCGCUGGGACGUAACUGACGCUGAGACGCGAAAGCGUGGGGAGCAAACAGG
rnacentral:rRNA from 1 species